UACGUAGGGGGCAAGCGUUGUCCGGAAUUAUUGGGCGUAAAGAGCGCGUAGGCGGUCCGGUAAGUCGGCUGUGAAAGUCAAGGGCUCAACCCUUGAAAGCCGGCCGAUACUGUCGGACUAGAGUCCGGAAGAGGCGAGUGGAAUUCCCGGUGUAGCGGUGAAAUGCGCAGAUAUCGGGAGGAACACCAAUGGCGAAGGCAGCUCGCUGGGACGUUACUGACACUGAGGCGCGAAAGCGUGGGGAGCGAACAGG
rnacentral:rRNA from 1 species